rnacentral:rRNA from 1 species
UGGGGAAUUUUGGACAAUGGGCGCAAGCCUGAUCCAGCCAUACCGCGUGAGUGAAGAAGGCCUUCGGGUUGUAAAGCUCUUUCAGACGGAAAGAAACGGUUACGGCUAAUACCCGUGACUAAUGACGGUACCGUAAGAAGAAGCACCGGCUAACUACGUGCCAGCAGCCGCGGUAAUACGUAGGGUGCGAGCGUUAAUCGGAAUUACUGGGCGUAAAGCGUGCGCAGGCGGUUUGGUAAGACAGAUGUGAAAUCCCCGGGCUUAACCUGGGAACUGCAUUUGUGACUGCCAGACUAGAGUGUAGCAGAGGGGGGUAGAAUUCCACGUGUAGCAGUGAAAUGCGUAGAUAUGCGGAGGAACACCGAUGGCGAAGGCAAUCCCCUGGACCUGUACUGACGCUCAUGCACGAAAGCGUGGGGAGCAAACAGGAUUAGAUACCCUAGUAGUCCCUGAGCGGGCUGGCAAGGCGCAU